rfam:Felis catus isolate Cinnamon breed Abyssinian chromosome A3, whole genome shotgun sequence.
GCCUGGGUGGCUCAGUCGGUUGAGCGUCCGACUUCAGCUCAGGUCACGAUCUCAUGGUUCGUGAGUUCGAGCCCCGCGUCGGGCU